rnacentral:misc_RNA from 1 species
UCCGGUUUGGCACCGGCAGUCUCCCUAGAGUUCCCGGCUUUACCCGCUGGCAACUAAGGACAGGGGUUGCGCUCGUUGCGCCACUUAAGGCAACACCUCACGGCACGAGCUGACGACAGCCAUGCACCACCUGUGCGGGCUCCGAGGAGCGCCGUAUCUCUACGGUUUCACCCCGCAUGUCAAGCCCAGGUAAGGUGGGGAUGACGUUCUUGCUAGGUAA